rnacentral:tRNA from 1 species
CGGGCCUCUAGCUCAAUGGUAGAGCAGUUGACUCUUAAUCAAUUGGUUCAGGGUUCGAGUCCCUGGGGGCCCACC